CUGAACUUAAGCAUAUCAAUA
rnacentral:rRNA from 3 species